GGCUUCGUAGCUCAGCUAGUAAAGGGCUUGCCGCGUUUGAGCGUGCUGCUGUUGACGCUGGUUCGAAUCCAGCCGAAGCUC